rnacentral:rRNA from 1 species
CCUACGGGAGGCAGCAGUGAGGAAUAUUGCACAAUGGACGAGAGUCUGAUCCAGCCAAGUAGCGUGAAGGAUGACGGCCCUAUGGUCUGUAAAUUUUUUUUAUAUGGGAAUAAAAUGUUCCACGUGUGGGAUUUUAUAUGUCCCAUAUGAAUAAGGAUGGGCUAACUCCGUUCCAUCAGCCGCGGUAAUACGGAGGAUUCGAGCGUUAUCCGGAUUUAGUGGGUUUAAAGGGAGAGUAGGUGUAUUGGUAAGUCAGUUGUGAAAGUUUGGGGCUCAACCGUAAGAUUGCAGUUGAAACUGGCAGUCUUGAGUACAGUAGAGGAGGGCGGAAUUCGUGGUGUAGCGGUGAAAUGCUUAGAUAUCACGAAGAACUCCGAUUGCGAAGGCAGUUCACUGGACUGAAACUGACACUGAGGCUCGAAAGUGUGGGUAUCAAACAGGAUUAGAUACCCUUGUAGUC